GCUUCUGUUGCCUAAUGGAUAAGGCGUUUGUUUUCGGAAUGAAUGAUUGUGGAUUCAAGUGUCACCACGGGCG
rnacentral:tRNA from 1 species